GAAGGAAGGGCAGUGACAGAGGAAGGGUGGUGACACAGUGACAGAGGGCGGUGGUGACUAGUGACUGAGGGAGGCAGUGACUAGUGACUGAGGGAGGGUGUGACUGUCACUAGUCACCCCAUCCCUCACUCUGUCACUAGUCACCCCCUCUGUCACUAGUCACCCCCUUCCUGUCUCUCACUAGUCACCCCCUCACUCUGUCACGUCACCCCCUCCCUCCCUCUGUCACUAGUUACCCCUUCCUGUC